rnacentral:pre_miRNA from 1 species
AAUGGCAUAGCUGGGUCAUAUGGUGAUUCCAUCCUUAUUUUUAUUUUUAUUUUUUUAGGAAUGGCCAUACUACUUUCCAGAGUGGUUGUACUAGUCUGCAGUCCCACUAACUAU